AGAGAGUUGGAUGUUGAUUAAAAAGCUGGCAGGAAAGGAAAAUAUUUCACUCUUUUUGUUGUUGAUUUUCUUCUUUUCUUCCGCCUUGUAAUGUGAGCAUUUGGAAACUUUAACCCACAUCCUUCACAGCAGGACCCUUUGAACAUGGUUAGACCUUUUGUUUGACUAAGAGGUUAACAGGGAACCCUGCUAAGCUGCUUUUGGUUGAGUUGACCUUUUAACUGAACUGUCAAGCGUGAAAGGCGAAGAACGUGAGACCACGGAGGUGCAAAGAAGACAAAUGGGCUUGGCGUAACAUUUCGUGUGAAGAUCAGCCAUUGUUGCGGGCCCCACCCCCUAACGCCGUUGGAAGGAAGGUUUUUAUGGGAAAACGAACAUGUCCGCUGUCACCUACCUCAAAUCAUCUGACGGUUCAUUCUUUAUUUAAACUGCAUGACAGUUUUAUUUAAUGUUUGAGUUUUGCUAUUUCAAACGGUCAGCUCUCUUUGUUGUGCUGCUGUUUUAUUUUCCACAUAGGCUCAAUAAGACAGAUGGUACAACUGCUACUGGUUAGAAAA